UUCCGGUUGAUCCUGCCAGAGGUUACUGCUAUCGGAGUUCGAUUAAGCCAUGCGAGUCUAAAGGUUUCUUCGGAAACCUUGGCGGACUGCUCAGUAACACGUGGAUAACCUACCCUUGGGACUGGAAUAACCCCGGGAAACUGGGGAUAAUACCGGAUAGAUCAGGGAUGCUGGAAUGCACCUUGAUCCAAAGCUCCGGCGCCCAAGGAUGGGUCUGCGGCCUAUCAGGUAGCAGUGGGUGUAACGUACCUACUAGCCAACGACGGGUACGGGUUGUGAGAGCAAGAGCCCGGAGAUGGAUUCUGAGACACGAAUCCAGGCCCUACGGGGUGCAGCAGGCGCGAAACCUUUACAAUGUGCGAAAGCAUGAUAAGGGAACUCCGAGUGCCAGUAUCUAAUACUGGCUGUCCUUGUGCCUAAAACGCACAAGAUAGCAAGGGCCGGGUAAGACCGGUGCCAGCCGCCGCGGUAACACCGGCGGCCCGAGUGGUAGCCGCUAUUAUUGGGUCUAAAGGGUCCGUAGCCGGGUCGAUAAGUCCCCUGGGAAAUCUGGUUGCUUAACAAUCAGACUGCCAAGGGAUACUGUCGAACAUGAGACCGGGAGAGGUAAGAGGUACUUCAGGGGUAGGAGUGAAAUCUUGUAAUCCCUGGGGGACCAUCAUGUGGCGAAGGCGUCUUACCAGAACGGGUCUGACGGUGAGGGACGAAAGCUGGGGGCGCAAACCGGAUUAGAUACCCGGGUAGUCCCAGCCGUAAACGAUGCUCGCUAUGUGUCAGGUACGGUGUGACCGUAUCUGGUGCCGUAGGGAAGCCGUGAAGCGAGCCACCUGGGAAGUACGGCCGCAAGGCUGAAACUUAAAGGAAUUGGCGGGGGAGCACUACAACGGGUGGAGCCUGCGGUUUAAUUGGAUUCAACGCCGGGA
rnacentral:rRNA from 1 species